rnacentral:rRNA from 1 species
GAUGAACGCUGGCGGCGUGCUUAAUACAUGCAAGUCGAGCGAACAGACGAGGAGCUGGCUCUUCUGACGUUACCGGCGGACGGGUGAGUAACACGUGGAUAACCUACCUAUAAGACUGGGAUAACUUCGGGAAACCGGAGUUAAUACCGGAAAAUCUAUUUACCCGCAGGGUGCAAUAGUGAAUGACGGUUUUGCUGUCACUUAUAGAUGGAUCCGCGCCGCAUUAGCUAGUUGGUAAGGUAACGGCUUACCAAGGCAACGAUGCGUAGCCGACCUGAGAGGCUGAUGGGCCACACUGGAACUGAGACACGGUCCAGACUCCUACGGGCGGCAGCAGUAGGGAAUCGUCCGAAAUGGGCGAAAGCCUGACGGAGCAACGCCGCGUGAGUGAUGAAGGUCUUCGGAUCGUAAAACUCUGUUAUUAGGGAAGAACAAAUGUGUAAGUAACUAUGCACGUCUUGACGGUACCUAAUCAGAAAGCCACGGCUAACUACGUG